GAAAACCCAGAGGUAAAAAGGUGCAGAACACAUGCCAGCAGGAGGGGAGGCCAGUGUGACAAGAUGCAGAAGGGCCGGUCCCGAGCUGAGCUGAAAGGUACCGGAAGAACAGAGGUGUGAGCCUCCCUGUGCUGUGUGAAGAGAGUCAGUCUAAAUUUGGUGGGACAGGAAGGGGAGGAAACAGGAAGGCAGCUCUGGAGAUGACAAGAUGAAGAAGAUGAGAAGCGGGCAGAGACGUGAGUCACUCACUCAUGGGCAGCCAAGGGUGAUUCUGAGUGCUGAGAAGUGACUCUGUAUGUGUGCCGGUGCCUGACGAAAUGUGUCAGUGUGGCCUUGAAGCAGGAGCUGAAGAUGUAGCCUGGACACCAAUGCACGUCCUUAUCAAAACACAGGAGCUGAAGGUGUAGCCUGGACACCAAAGCUUGUCCUUAUCAAAACACAGGAGCUGAAGGUGUAGCCUGGACACUGUGCACUGAGGAGCAGGACAAGGAUAGCACUGCUUACAAACCUGCACCGAGGACCAGCAGCAUCCUCCCUACACAGUGUACACUGGGACAGCCUUUAAAACUAAGUUAUAACUUAGGCCAUUCUUUCCUGACUGUAACACCACUGCCUUUAGCUAUCUGUAGGACUACAUAUGAUUUCCUGAGAUGUUUUUUCCUAAACAUCCAAGAUGUGGCUGGGGGUGAGAUGGACAUUUUUGUGUCAAAGCUUCUGGGAAAAUAAGACCGAAAACAAAAAUGUCUUGUUUUGAAAGUAUUUUUUCCAGCUUGCUCCCCUCCACGUCCCUCCUCCUCUUUCUGUUCCUUCUUGUGAGAAGGAAUUUCAGUCAGCUGACAGUCAGCUGACUGCAUAAACUGUACAUUUCUUCUAAAGGGACAACAUUGUUUUAAAGUUACAGCAUUCAAAUAAAACAGUGAAUCCUAAUUUAAUGAAAAGUACCUUUUUAGUCACAUACUACAGCGCGCACUGCACCCCAGGGCAGUGGGGAAGGACACACUGGCCGCAGGGCCCCAGCAGAUGGCCGCAGAGCUGAAGGCCUUCCUCGGUGUGCUCCUCAACCGCCACAUCACCUGACUCUGGCCCACAGAAGCCCUUCCCUGCCCCUCUGUGAUCUUUUGAAUAAUGGUAAUUGAGCUGAAGUUUGAAGGACGUGAUGUUGGAAAGCUGGAUACGUGGCUCUCUGGGAAUGCUCACUGACCUUGGGCAAGGGCCUGGAUGUAGUGUAGAGACCACCAAAGUAAUCCAAGGCAAAAACCAUGGAAGAGUGGAAACGAUUCCCUGACUCUCCUUGUGUCCAAGAUGGGGGGUUUGGAGGACACACCUCUCUCCUCUCUCUCAGCAUGGCCACCAGGGAGGCCUGUUCUCUCUCACACCCUUCAGACAGCCGCAGAAGACUGUCCACAGAGUAAGUCCCAGCUGAGUGCCAACUGUGUCCCUAAGUCAUUUCAUCGUCCUAUACACAUUCGAUAAACCAGUCCAGCUUAUGAACUCAUCUUCCAGGACACCAUAAAAAGGCUUUUUGUGGUGGAUGUCUUAUCUCUCCUCCAUCCAACACCGUCUGCCUCUCACCAACACACACUGUUCAUCUUCACACAUUCGCCUCUGCUCUUCACGGAUUGCUUCAUCUACUCAGACUUAAGCCCGAGACAGGAUCCCUGUCUCCUGGGUCUGUGUCUAACACUUGUGCUGAGGCAUUUAAUGAAAUGGCUGCUGACAGAACAGGCUUUACUAUUUGAGGAAGCAAAAACAGAAACUGGCACUCCACUGUCAACCUUGGGAAACCGUUGACUCCACUGGGCUGCUCACUCUCACACACAGAGCCAACGAACAACGUGCUGCCUUGAAGAAACCUUUUGUUCACUGCUUGGCACGAAAAAUGUCGGAAAGAAUCAGAUUUCACCUUUGAUUAUUCUAGCUGAGCAACUUGUCUCCUUUUAGGUAGGAGCUUCCAGUUUCUUACAGGAAGAAUUUAGGGAAAUAACCGCAAGUCAAGGAAGUUGCAUUCCAUUAGCAGGAUGUAAAGCAAUGUGCGGCCCAAUGGAGCCACACCUGUCUUACUUCACGUUCAUCUGCACAGUGACUACUUUAAUAUGACCCUGUGGAUCCGAGCCAUCCUUCCAGCAACGACACAAAGCGCGUAGAGGCAGAGCCCUGAGAACGUCUCCGUACCAGGACAGCCCUGACAGGAUGAGUGGGAAAAUGAAGGGACUAAAUUAUUUCAAUAUUUUCUGGUUUUUGCUUUUUUGGGACAGGGUUUCUCUGUGUAGCCCUGGCUAUCCUGGAACUCACUGUUUAGACCAGACUGGCCUUGAACUCAAAAAUACACCUGCCUCUGCCUUCGAAGUGCUAGGAUUGAAGGUGUGAGCCACCACUGCCCAGCUAAUUAUUUAGAAUUUUAAAGACUUCAUCUAUUUCAACCAAUGAAAACACGUCUGUACCAUGAUUUAAUGCAGAGACCAAAAGCAGCACUUGGUUAUUCUGAGAACACAUUAAAAUGCUUCCAAGGCUUAAUUAUAUUUAUAUCUCAUAAUUUUGUUACUUUUAAAUUUUUGCUUAAUACAUGAGUUACUAUGUGCAAAGAAAAUUUUAGUCUAGUAAACUGAAUUUAUUACAAAUUCAUAAUUUGUCAUUACAACUAAUGUGAUAUAAUCAAAUCUCACAAAAUGUUUUGACUUUAAGAUUAUAAAGGCCCCAUAUUCUUUUUGUGCCAUUUUAAUUCUUGAGGGGAGGGGUGUUCAUUAAUAUAAGACUUGACAAACUAUAAUUUGAACUUCACUACAUGUAGACAUUUUCCAUAAAUACUGAAGAAGUCUAACUAAUGCUCUCUGAAAGGUGAGACAUGCACAAACAACAUGAAAUCACAGAGUAUAAAUAAAUGACAAUUAAGUA